rnacentral:rRNA from 1 species
UACAGAGGUCCCAAGCGUUGUUCGGAUUCACUGGGCGUAAAGGGUGCGUAGGUGGCUAGGUAAGUCCGUUGUGAAAGCCCUGGGCUCAACCUGGGAACUGCAGUGGAUACUGAGAAGCUAGAGUGUGUCAGAGGAUGGUGGAAUUCCCGGUGUAGCGGUGAAAUGCGUAGAGAUCGGGAGGAACAUCAGUGGCGAAGGCGGCCAUCUGGGACAACACUGACGCUGAGGCACGAAAGCGUGGGGAGCAAACAGG